rnacentral:rRNA from 1 species
GACUACACGAAGCCGGAAUCGCAGUAAUCGCGAAUCAGAGUGUCGCGGUGAAUACGUUCCCGGGUCUUGUACACACCGCCCGUCACACCAUGGGAGUCGGAAAUGCCCGAAGUCAGUGACCCAACCGCAAGGAGGGAGCUGCCGAAGGCAGGUCGGAUGACUGGGGUGAAGUCGUAACAAGGUAAC